AUGCUAAAGGAUUUACCCGAGA
rnacentral:siRNA from 1 species